rnacentral:rRNA from 1 species
UACGGGGGGGGCAAGCGUUGUUCGGAAUUACUGGGCGUAAAGGGCUCGUAGGCGGCCAACUAAGUCGGACGUGAAAUCCCCAGGCUCAACCUGGGAACUGCGUCUGAUACUGGAUGGCUUGAAUUCGGGAGAGGGAUGCAGAAUUCCAGGUGUAGCAGUGAAAUGCGUAGAUAUCGAGAGGAACACCGGUGGCGAAGGCGGCAUCCUGGACGAUUCCUGACUCUGAAACACGAAAGCUAGGGGAGCAAACGGG